rnacentral:rRNA from 1 species
GACUACCAGGGUAUCUAAUCCUGUUUGCUCCCCACGCUUUCGUGCAUGAGCGUCAGUGUUGACCCAGGGGGCUGCCUUCGCCAUCGGUGUUCCUCCACAUCUCUACGCAUUUCACUGCUACACGUGGAAUUCCACCCCCCUCUGCCACACUCGAGCACCACAGUCACAAACGCAGUUCCCAGGUUAAGCCCGGGGAUUUCACAUCUGUCUUAUGGCGCCGCCUGCGCACGCUUUACGCCCAGUAAUUCCGAUUAACGCUCGCACCCUACGUAUUACCGCGGCUGCUGGCACGUAGUUAGCCGGUGCUUCUUCUUCAGGUACCGUCAUUAACUCCCUAUGUUAGAGAGAGCCGUUUCGUUCCUGCUGAAAGAGCUUUACAACCCGAAGGCCUUCUUCACUCACGCGGAAUGGCUGGAUCAGGGUUGCCCCCAUUGUCCAAAAUUCCCCACUGCUGCCUCCCGUAGG